UUUCGAGCAAGAAAAUUGUAAAAACAGCUCAUUUUAAAAAUGGUUUCGUCAUAAAAAAUCUGAAUUUAGGUCGGGUAAUUACCAAAGGGAAGAUGUCAGCAUUUUUGCGAUUUGGAAAAUUUGAUGCCGUUCAACAGAGCUCCUUUAAACGUACCGAACUGCAUCAAAAUUGUCAUAGCGAAAAAAUGCCGACUUACAUAUUAGCUUUGACAAUUAACUGAUUUAUUUUUGUUAUUUUUCUAAUAAAAGAAUUCUUGUAUUCUUUUUUCCAUUCAAGCAAUACUGAUAUAUUGGAUAAAUGACUAGGAAUGAAUAUCUUAAGCUAACUUUGAAUGAAAGCUAGAAAACGAAGAAACACAAAUGCUUAUCUUCCAACACUUUUUUCUCCGAGUGCAAAAAGGAAAUCAACAAACAACAACAUCUAGCAGCGCUAUAAUUUAUUUAUACAGAGGCGUUGCGCGGUGAUAGCAUAUUUACUCUACGACGGUGACAGUUAACUAAAGCUAAAAUAAAUAAAUAUGUUUACAUGUGACAGCGGUGCAGCAGUAGAGGAGCAAGAAAAUGGAGCUAUAAAAGUGAAAUAACAACAAAAAAGAAUUCGCAAGCACAAACAAGUAAAUAGCAAAAAAAUGCGAUAGAGUAGCAAUAAAAAAAAUGCAUCGAAAAAUAAGUGCAGCCAAUCGGCUGCAACAAAAACAAAAACUUAUUGACGCAACAGCAGCAAAUUAUAAAUAAAUGCAAAACCGCCGCGAAGUGCGCGUUUACUUCAGCAGCCAGCGCUUUAGAGCUGAUGAUGGCAUAGCAGCUGGCCAUUGACCACCUACGCAUGAUUGCAGCAGCAGUAGGCGAAACAGCAGCCGCGGCCAACGGCGACUGCACUAGACAAACAACCAACAAUCAGCUAACAAAACCAAGUUGCCCAAAGAUUUAAAUCAGCCAUUAAAACAUAAAAAAAACGCACAGCAGUAUACGUACAUAGUAACAACAACGCACCUGACUUCGGCGGCCACGGCGUGCUGGAAAACUCACUCACUCGGUGGCAAGUUGCUAAAUUUGGCAACUUUGAAUUUCGAUUUGUUUUCUUGCGUUGUGUGGGACGCUAAAUGGUUGCUGUUCUGUUGAGGUAAGUGCUGCAAAGCGAACGGAUUGAACGGCACAAGCAGUGAAAUAGUAAAAAAACAACAAAAAAAAAACUUUAUGAAAGAAAAAACUUCAAUAGCCAAAGCAAAGCAACCAACUAAUCCAAAAUAUAACAAAUUUAAAUCCUAAACACAACAGCAACAACAACAGUGUACAUAUGGACCAAAGCACAAAUAAUCAUAAGUGGAGCGAGGGCGUCUCGUGGUUGGCGAGAGUUGGUGAAACCGAGGUGAUUGCGAUUGUGUAUGCGCGGCGAAUGUAUGCACAGAUCUAAAAGGGUCUCGUUUAGCUUCGGCCCCUUGAUGCUUUUAUGCUGCUACGCGUGUUGGUUAUUUUGUUACCGAUUACCAAAUGUAAAAGUGUGAAAUGAAAUAAAAUGUAAUGCUUGCUAAAGCGCUGAGACGAGCGGAGGCGGAAAGAAGAA